AAGAUAAAAAAAAAAAAGAGACAAGUGAGAGAAAAGGGAAAAGAUAAGAAAAAGAGGGGAGUCGGGCUGUAGCGCAGCGGGUUAAGCGCAGGUGGCGCAAAGCACAAGGACCGGCAUAAGGAUCCCGGUUCGAACCCCGGCUCCCCACCUGCAGGGGAGUCGCUUCACAGGCGGUGAAGCAGGUCUGCAGGUGUCUAUCUUUCUCUCCUCCUCUCUGUCUUCCCCUCCUCUCUCCAUUUCUCCCUGUCCUAUCCAACAACGACAACAACAAUAAUAACUACAACAAUAAAACAACAAGGGCAACAGAAGGGAAUAAAUAAAUAAAAAUAAAAUAUUUAAAAAAAAAAAAGAAAAAGAAAGGAAGGAAGGAAGGAAGGAAGGAAGGAAGGAAGGAAGAAGGGAAGAAAGGAAGAGGGGAAGGAAGGAAGGAAGGAAGAAAGAAGGGAAGAAAGGAAGAAGGGAAGGAAGGAAGGAAGGAAGGAAGGAAGGAAGAAAGAAGGGAAGGAAGGAAGGAAGGAAGGAAGGAAGGAAGGAAGAAGGGAAGGAAGGAAGGAAGGAAGGAAGGGAGGAAGG